CUGUUGCUCCUUAACCUCUGCGAUGCUUCAAGAAGCAGCAGCCAUCUUGCCAGCCUGGGGAGGAAGCCGGAAGAGAGCAAGAGGAUGAGCGGGCCGGGGUGUGACCUUACAGAGCCGCCAUACUAAGCCUUUGCAGGGGCGGAAAAUUUUCCCUUCCUCCCUUCCAGAUUCUGUGAGUGCUUGUCAAUGAUAGGACCUACCAGAAGCUGAUGAGGAGGUCUGGGAAAUGUAGUUUUUCGGCUGCCAAGCACUGGACAUAGAAGGGAAAAUAGCAAGAUAUUGCCGUGGAAACGUCAAUUCCCCAGGCCAAGAAGACCCCCCGUUUCCCAGAAGCUACUUCUACAAACUCUAGAAUAUAGAUGAGCCUGGCCCAAUCACGCGCUACGUCCGGACCCAGCGGAUUUGCAGCACACCUGCAUUGGAGCAGUCUCCUCGGUCUUGGCUGUGGUCUCCGUUCCCACCAUCCGCUAAGGAGCAUCUGAUUAAGUGGCACUGCUGUAUCCACAUGCAAUUUACAAAAAUAAUAUUUUAUCCUCACCAUCAGUACUGUUUGUGGCUGCACACUGGAUAGGAAUAAUUUCAGAAGGUUCCAGCUGGCCUUCCUCAAAAGGCACCGAUCCUCCAAUCAAAUAUCAAUGACCAAGUUUGGACCAAUGGCGUUCUCUGUCGUGGGAAUUUGGAAUCAGAAAACUGAGAGUCUGAGUCAGGUGUACCCACAGGAUGAUGGACACUUGACCUCAACAGUCAUAGACAACUGGCCCUGACAUUGAUACCCAAGCAAACCUGGACCCCCACGAGGCUGUGAGAUCUGUAAGAUCAUCUGUUGUAAUUCUGUAGGAACACUCCUCUUAACUUCAGCAGGAUUUCUUUGUUUUGCAACCAGAGCUUUAAUUAAUAUAACUUCCAGUUACACAGCUAUAGCCUUCUGGUGCAAGUUUUCCUUCUUGACUCGGCAAAUGCCUGCUGAGUCUUUAUUACCUGGCUUCAACAUUGCCUCCUCCCUGAAGCCUUCCAUGAUAACUCCGUCCUCCUGAUCCUUCAAGACUCUGCUCAUAACCAUUAUAUUGUGGUGUCGCUGAUCUAUCUAAAAACACUCCACUCCCCAGACCACGAGGUCCUCAAAGGGAAAGUCCCGUCUUUGUGCCCGCUACCCAGGAGGUCUUCAGUCAGUGUUUGCAGAAUUGCCUCAGUGACUCUGAGUUGGUUCUGGAAGCGGCCUGCCAUAGCACACCAUGCUAUGUGCCACUCAAUCUUCCCAACAUUCGAGGGGUUCUGAGUUUACGCUGACUCUGCUAACUUAUUUCACUCCAGUUCCAUCUUCGCUCAGUCCUCCCUGGUGUCAGGAAUUGUUCGGCUUGCUGAGUCCCUCCUGCUUUGUGCAAACUUCACUACCCUUGGAUCGGUGACAAUUCCAAGGCGACCCCCCCGGGGCAGAGCACAUGCUGUUUCCCAGGGUUCUAGAACUCUUUGCUGAGUUUUGGCUCCUCUUAAUGGCUUUGUGUGGUUGCCUGGGGCCCAUGAUACCUGUGUGUCUGCUCCCGACAGCAUCCCCCACCCGAUCCCACCAUCUGUUUAUUUUGGCUGCGUCUCCUUCUUUAUGUCCCUCUUCUGAGAGACGGUGAAUAGCAGCUACUUCUCAUCAGCCAGAAGCCCUCGCUGCCUUGUCCAUCGGAGAAAAUUUGUCUCCGGAUCCGAGGCAGCUUUCUGACAUGGGAGAGGACAUCAGUGCUCAUUUGCUCGGAAAAAGCAACAACAACAAAAACCUCUUGCUCUGCUUGGACCUUCUUUCUUUUAUGGAUUGCUGUGCCCCCAGCAAACCCACCAGGUUUCCCUGCCAACCACCAGCCAUAUAUCCAAGCUGCGGAUUCACCCCCUGGCAGCCUAGGGCAGGGGGUGGCGAGGCGAGAGUUUCACAGCUUUGGGGGCUUUAUUUGCUUUACUUUGUGCUCUGGUACACAGUGUCUUGAAAGAGGGGUUUCUGCAAGGACACCCGAUGCUCUAACCUCAGUACUGACAGGUGUAUCCGUAUCAGGGAUCACCUAGGGGACCAGGGAUUUAAAUACACGGGGGCUGUGGCAACUUUGCCCCCUCAAUAUUUCACUUUGCUGAUCUCUGCUUUCUGGUAUGAAGCAAAAAAACAACUCAGGUUCAGCUCAGCCUUCCGAAUUUCAAAACAGACUCUCUUGCUUUUUGUGAACUACACCUCUCAUAUUGAUAGAUAAGGCUUUUACCGAUUCUGGGAUUUUCAUGUGUCUUGGUCUGGAAUGGAGUCAGACCUUUUCGCUAAAAUAGCACCUUUCACAGUCGUGUGCCUGGGCUGUUUCUGAUCUUCAUGAUGGACAAGGGAAGCCCACUCAGGAUGGACUGUCUUGGAAAGGGCUCCUCAUUUCAGAGAAGCCCUGGAGAAAAGGAGCUCUUCUAUACUAAGUAACAUUGCAGACAGUCCCUUCGGCCUCUUGCUGUGGGGCAGGCAUGGAAUGAAAGAGGAGAGACAGUCUCCAGCUAGGCUGAGAGCCACAAGUGAGUAGAGCAGGAGCGGAUGGCUCUCGUGUGGACUCUCUUCCUCUCCAUGUCUUGCUUCCUUGUUCAUUCGGAGAUCUCAGCACAUCAAAAUAUUAGUGAAGGAGAUAAUUUAACCUGGGGACAAAAUGACACCUCUUUAAACCUACUUACCAAUCAGACAGCUGAAGUCGUUUGCAUCUGACCAUAAAUUGCCCCCCAAAGCUGUUCUUUUAAAAUGUAAACCUGUCUCUGGGAUUUGGGGACAGCCUAAAAGUACAUACAAUAGAAGAGAAAGAGCACUUCGCCAGGAGUCAGGGGCCCCUAUUUCUAAUGCUUGGCUCAUUACUAACGAUGUCACUUUGGGCAAAUCAUUCUAUUUCUCUGGCUUCAUUAGUGACCUCAGUGGGAGCAGUUUUAGUAGAGAAGCUGACAUCCUAAUUGCCAAAUCCAUAGGCUAAUUUUCAUUCCUCAUCCUACUUGACAACUCCAUUGCCUAUCGCACUCUUGACUGCUCUUUCCUUCUCGAAACCGGCUCUGCUCUUGGCUCCUGGGACCCUGCCUCUGUGAAUCCUUCUCCCACUUCUCUCCCAACCUGCUUCCCUCUUCUUGCACCCACCCGGGGCCCCCUUGCCUGAUGGGAUUCCCGAGAAUUUCCCUCCUCGCUCCCCUUCUCAUCACACAUCCAUUUCCUAAGUGAUUCAUUCAAUCCACUCCCUUGGAGCCCCCAGUCUCUUUGCGGAUGACGGCCAUAUCUCUACUUCAGAGCUCUCUUGGUCUCUCUUCUGAAUGCUGUCUUGCCUCUCUGGCUGCCCAGAGGAGGACUCGUCUAGCUGCAUGUCAAGCCCCUCAAACUCAGCCUGCCCCAAACUCAGUUCACUGUCUUCCUGCAUAUACCUUACCUGCCCCCUGAAACCUGAAUCCUUUGCAGCCCAUUCUGUCUCCCGUAUUUCCAUUGGUCUCUGAAGCUGAAUGGUCUUUCCUGCUUCGUUCUCCCUAAAACAACAUUACUACCAAGUCUACCUGAGAGGCAUUCCUGCAUUUUCAUGCUACCGGUGCGGCUGAGCGUCAGGUCCUCAGGCUGUCCCAUCUGGAUCUUUGAAAUAGUAGCCAAGAUAGAUAAGAAGAAGUUUGGCUGACAGAACAAGAAAGCGGGGCUUGCUGUGGCUUGACCAAACAGAGCUUGGGGUUUAUUUUUUCUCACACAAUUCGAAAUUCAGACAGACAAGGCCCAGAACCAAUAUGGCGGACCCACAAAGCCUCCAGGGAGCCCAGGUUCUUCUGCCUUUCCGGGCAGCCGUUCUUGACAUGUGGCUACCAGGGGUUUGCCACCUGUGUUCACAGAUUUCCACACCCCCACGUUCCUGGCAAGAAGAAAGGGCAAGGGCAAAAAGGCAAAAGGCAAACGGCUCGUGAGCCGACCUCCUUUCAAAGAGCUCUCCUGGAAGCUCCACCCAAUGCCAAGCAGCGCAUUGGCCAGAACUGCGUCCCGUGACUACUCUCUGCGGGAAGACCGGGAGCAGUAACUGCGGUGGGUUGUUUGAUUUAAGCAGGACACACCGCCUCCCUUACUGAAGUUGAAAUUCUGUUAGAAAGAAAGAAAAGGAGAAUUGCUAGUGCAGGAAAAAAGUAACUGUGUUUGCAGCAGCCUGGUCUUGCUCACCAGAAUCUUCAUCUGCUACUCUAUUCUCUAUAUCCCUGGGGGGAAGGAAGGGUAAAAGUGACCCUAUUGUUCCCCUAUUUUAAAUAUCUUUAUCAAAUCCUCAUUGGCUACAGAGUAAAGAACAAACAUCUUUGCCCAUAGUCUGAGUUCCAUCUUCAUUUCUAUGCUCCUCUCUUGCCAUCACCCUUUCCUCCCACCUGCGGAACACACCCUUAAGAACCCACAGAACUUUCCUUGGCUUCCUAAACCCGUGAUGCUAUUCUCUCUGCCCUAUUGCCUUUGUCAGCUCCGCACACUUCUUAAGUCUUCAUUGCCAAGGAGGGAACAGGCCCGUGUCUGUCCCUCACCUCAGUUUUCUUCCUCAACUCCUAGAAGGACAUUCUUCACACCUGUGAGUCCUUCCUGUCCCCUACAGCAUCCACUCCAGGGGACAAGGCAUUCAGACUGAAAGGGCAGAGCCCAGCGUUAGGAGAGCCAUGUUUCCUAUCGCUAAACUGAAAGAAAACACACAUCUCAGAACACAUUCUUUGCCAUUUGGCAUUCUCUCUGUGAGGCCCAGGACCCUCUCCCUUACUAUUAUUUCACUAUUUGUUCCCUCGAAUAAAGGAACCUCGCAUAGGACAUCUCCAGCAGUCAUCUGGCCACCUCCCGGCUCACUCCAUUUCUGUAUUUCAUCCAUGCUGUUGCGUCAGGAAACUGACUCGGAAUCUUCUCAGAGACCCAGAAACCUCUCUAUUAUUCUCUGCAGAUGACCCUGGCGUAAGGGUCCCAAGACUGCCCUGUAUGGAAGGCAGGGUCCCCAGGCAUAUACACUGAAAUCUACCAGAGCAUUGCAUUGUGAUAUUGGACAUUUGUCAGGCUUCUGAUAAGAGCAAUGCUAUGUUUUGCAUAUAGCUGGGGAUCCUUGUGUGCAGACAGCGGUGGGCUGAUCAAUGUUGGACAACUGGCUCUCCAAGGUGGGGGGUGGAUAGGGAAGGGAUGCUCUGGUCUGUAAGCUUGACCAGUUCCUAUGGUGUAAAUACUCUGAUCAGGACCAAAUUCAAGCUACUGAUGUGAUGCAAUUGAACUUGAAGUUGACUCUGCCACGACCGCGGGAGAUUCCAGCAGGGAAGAAGGAUGCAUGCAUGACCAGGUCUAAGCACCAAAACCACACAAAAAGCUUAGCAGCCCUGCCUUCCGCAACACCUCUGAAUGAACAGCGCCUCCCAGCAAAAGAGAGCUCUCUCUUCCCCCAGUUCACAGGGCUCUUUGAUUCCUCUCCCACCUUAGUGUUUUUGAACAGCUUCUUCUGGGUGAAUGAGUGCACUAUUCUACAGUGUGGAUUGCCUCCAUCACUUACUCCACGAAUGGGUCCCGAGGAUUUUCUGUUCCACGACUCCCUAGUGAAUCCCCUUCCCAUUGAAGAGGUUGCUAUACUUCGAAUUCCCAGCAGGAGGCGCCCUUCAGCAUCAGGCAUGGA